UACGUAGGGGGCAAGCGUUGUCCGGAUUUAUUGGGCGUAAAGAGCGUGUAGGCGGCUUUACAGGUCCGUUGUGAAAACUCGAGGCUCAACCUCGAGACGCCGGUGGAAACCGUAAAGCUAGAGUCCGGAAGAGGGGAGUGGAAUUCCUGGUGUAGCGGUGAAAUGCGCAGAUAUCAGGAAGAACACCCGUGGCGAAGGCGGCUCCCUGGGACAUUACUGACGCUGAGACGCGAAAGCGUGGGGAGCAAACAGG
rnacentral:rRNA from 1 species